rnacentral:rRNA from 1 species
GAUGAACGCUGGCGGCGUGCCUAAUACAUGCAAGUCGAGCGAACGGACGAGAAGCUUGCUUCUCUGAUGUUAGCGGCGGACGGGUGAGUAACACGUGGAUAACCUACCUAUAAGACUGGGAUAACUUCGGGAAACCGGAGCUAAUACCGGAUAAUAUUUUGAACCGCAUGGUUCAAAAGUGAAAGACGGUCUUGCUGUCACUUAUAGAUGGAUCCGCGCUGCAUUAGCUAGUUGGUAAGGUAACGGCUUACCAAGGCAACGAUGCAUAGCCGACCUGAGAGGGUGAUCCGGCACACUGGAACUGAGACACGGUCCAGACUCCUACGGGAGGCAGCAGUAGGGAAUCUUCCGCAAUGGGCGAAAGCCUGACGGAGCAACGCCGCGUGAGUGAUGAAGGUCUUCGGAUCGUAAAACUCUGUUAUUAGGGAAGAACAAAUGUGUAAGUAACUAUGCACGUCUUGACGGUACCUAAUCAGAAAGCCACGGCUAACUACGUG